rnacentral:lncRNA from 1 species
UCCCCCAGCCACCCCCUCUCCACCACCAUCUGGCUGCUAAGGGGUGAUGCCUGGCCUGCCAGGGCCUCCAGACUCUGCUCCUGCUCUAUGGCUGGCAUCUGAUUGGUCAGUGCCUUACUGUGUGGUUGUUAAAUGUCUGAGUGAUGGACCAGCCUGAUGCCGAGGAUGGGGAUGCAGCAGAUGCCUGACAGGGCUCCGGGCCUGGCGCGUGGACAUGCAGCAAGUCCCCGGGUUCACCAAAGACUGCUUGCUCCCAUGAGCUUCUUUGGAACCAGGCCGUUUGGAACUCAGAGUGCGUGUCCCACGCAAACGAUGCCCUAAACAGCGCUGAGCACGCCCAGCUGGCCCACCCUGUCUGUUAAAGCUGUCCACAUACCCUGGACCGCCUAACAGCUCCGGGCACCUGCCACCAUGUGGCCAUGAGCAAACACUUGGGAUCUUCUCAGUCAGUGGGCAGUGGGGAGGUGGCUAACCUGUGUCCACCAGGGUUCUUUCAGCUUACAUCCGCUGAGCAUCUGCUCUGGGCCUGGUCCUCAUUUGGGGAGAAACACAGACAUGGCUCCUAUACCUCAAGGGUCUCAGUGUAGGGCAGAACUCAGGAUAGGCGGCAAAUACCUACACCCAAACCUAAAGGGGUCCCAUUAGGAGAGGGGUGUGUUUAGUGCAAAGGGGAGUCCUGGGUGGGUCACAGCCAAGUGGGAUGGGAGCAGGGAGCUGAAGAAAGAGGGUACAGGGAGAAUUGGCGGUGGGCUGGACUCUGAAAGGCAGGGGCAGGCAGAGCAUUCCAGGGUAAGGGGCCGUGUAAGCGAAGGUGUGAAGGGCUUUUUCACUAGACUGUGGAAGGAUGGGGGCAACGCAGGCGCGAGGCCAUGAGCCGGGUGAGGCGGCCUUGCAGGAAGCCAGGCAGUGGUGGGCACGGGAGAUGAACACUAAGAGGCUCACAGGACCCCCCACCACGUUCCUGAAGCCUGGACACUCCAAGGGAGGCAGCAGGUGGAACCCCUCCAGACACACUUCUCUUUGCAACUCCCCCAGCUCCUCCCCAGGUGCAGGGGCCCACGGGCUGGCCAGCCACACCUGUCUACAUGGGAAAGUGGAGGUGGGUCCUAGAGACAUCCAGUCUCCUUCCACAUCACUGGGGACAGGAAGGGUGAGUCUCCAUCAGCCCCUCAGACAGCCUUCCCGCCUGGGGCCGCAGAGAAGCCUCAGAGACAGGACCCCUCCUUUCCUGGGGAAAAUCUUCAGAUCAGAGUAUUCUCGCCACUGAGGCUGCACAGACACCAGCACACAACCCCAUGCUACAGCCCU